GCGGUGGCAUGGGGUCGAACGUCUGGAAGGGGAGACAUAAUAGACAUAAUAAAAACUUUCUAGAAUGGGCUGUUGUGUCAAGGGCUCAAAUGGUCGGUUAAAGCCAUGGUUCCAAGGUUCGGUCGGCUGUGGGUCAUAAUUUGUUGGGACGAUAUUUGACCUAGUUUGAAAAUCUGAUUUCAUAGGGUUAUGAGGUCUUUUUAAAUGCAAUUCUCUGUCCCUUUU
rnacentral:lncRNA from 1 species